GGCCCCGUAGUUUCCAAUGAGCCUGAAUUCCGGGCUGGUGGGAAUUUUGGGAAAAAGAAGCUCUUUGGUGGGGGGCAGGAGGGGGCAGAAGAUUAUGAGAUGAACUCUGGAGAUGAGAUUGAGAUGAACUGAGGAACGCUUUCUGAGAAUGAAGAAUGAAGUCAACAGAGAGGAAAGCUAUUGCAGGGGGCAUAGGGAGAUGGAUUCCUUCUGACUUUGAGACCCUGGAUGCAGCCACAGCACAUGACCUUCUCAUCUACCUUUCCCAAUUCACCCUGUUGGCUGCUGUGCUGAGGGACAGCUCAAAGUCAUGCACUUGGCAAGUGAUCUAGGAACUUCACUUGGCCCAGGAGUCUGCCAAUUCCGACCAUCCGAAGGGAGCCUGGUUUGAUGUGCAGUUUAAACGGGGUCUGAACAUAACCUAAUAUUUUGAUGAGGAUCUGUGCAAACUUCACACUCUGGAUAGCGGAAAGAACAAACAGAACCGAGUGGGGAGUAGGAGACGUCUACUCCUUAAUGAGCCUGCCUGGAGGGGCUCUGAUACGAUGCAGCCCCAUACCCUGCUCCCAGAGGUUACUCAACGGCUGCUGUCUCUGUCAGCCUCGAAAUCAAAGCCUUAAGGAACGAGCAAGAUUUGCAUCUUUUAAAAUCCUGCCAGUGAAGUGUAAAAGGUGUGAAUAUGCUUCUUGUUUGUUGCAAUAUUUUAAAAUAAAUUUUAAAUCAUUUGAA